rnacentral:rRNA from 1 species
CUUCUUAARAGGGACYAUCGGGUGUUUANCCGAUGGAAGUUUGAGNCAAUANCAGGUCUGUGAUGCCCUNAGAUGUUCUGGNCCGCACGCGCGCUACACUGAUGAAGUCAUCGAGUUCAUUUCCUUCAUCGGAAGAUGUGGGUAAUCUUUUUGAANYUUCAUCGUGCUGGGGAUAGAGCAUUGCAAUUAUUGCUCUUGAACGAGGAAUCCCUAGUAAGCACAAGUCAUCAGCUUGUGCUGAUUACGUCCCUGCCCCUUUGUACACACCGCCCGUCGCUACUACCGAUUGAAUGGCUUAGUGAGGC